UUACGGCCAUAUCAUGUUGAAACACUGGUUCUAGUACCAUCACCGAAGUUAAGCCACGUCGGGCUUGGCCUGUAGCUAGAUGGGUGACCACUUGGGAAUACCAGGUAUUGUAA